AGUCUACUGUCCAACUCAUUUCGACUUAUUUGGACUUGGAAAGAAACACUUCUCAGUCUGCAAUGAGCAACUCCAGACACUUGUAAAGUUGGACCAACCACAAGAAGGCUUUCCUCGAUUCACUGCAACUUCCCGGAAAUACAGCCCUGGUCACACUCUCAAAAGAAAAUGCUUCUGCAGGGUCUCUAUUUGAGUGAUUUCUGGCCACUCAGACUUCACACAGAGAGAAAAAGACCCUCAACACACUCCCCCACUCCCACCCUCAAGAGCGAGAACUUGCAGAACAAUGAGCCUUGCCUAAAAAAGGAAAUAUUUGCUGAAGUUGGACAGAGAAUGGUCAUGCAGAAAAUAUGGCUUAAACUGUUGCACUCUGAAGAGGACGGGGAGAGUCCUCUUCAUGAAGCCAUACAGAAACAAGGCUUGUUUUAAAGAUUCACAGCGUGAAGCAAAACCUCAGCUAUAAUCCCAACACUUUCAGGAGGACAAAACUGUGACUUUGAGACCGGCCCAAAGUACAAUCAUUAUGAGGCUAGCCAAGGGCUGUGUGGCAAGCUCUCAUCCAAAACAAAAACAAACAAACAACUCAAACAAAACUGAUUCACCGGUUGCAACAUUAGAAUUCCAAACGCUUCAGCGGCACCAUAGGCCCUAAUGGGCUCUGAGCCUACAGGGUACCAUUCACUUUUCUGCUCCAAACCUCUGCAGAUGCUGUGCCUAACAAUGAUGUGAUGCUAUCCAAGGCUGUUUCCUCGGAAAACACUGAUUUUUAAAACCUCCCCAUUCUGUGCAUUCUCUAGGAGUUAAAGGAAGCAAGAAAACGAAAAUCAAUCAGGCUACAGGAUGUAUCAAAAAUGCCUUUUCUCACAUCUUCCUUGCAAACAGGACUCCAUUCAUUCCCAUCAGAAUGAGGCAGGUAACAUGUGUUUCUCAACUUGGUGGAACAACAGACAGCAUCCUGGAGAGCUGCAGUAUUUCAAUCCAGUCACCAAACCACACAUAGAACUUCCUUCGCCUCUGCCUCUCUCUGAUAGCUAUUAGCUAAAGGAUCACAUAAAAAGCAGAAGAGGCCUUGGGCAGUUUGCUGUGGUUGGGACCAGAUAUCAGAAGUCUCCAUUCUGUUGGCAUCCUUGAUAGGAUGCUGAGGGACCUUCAGAGAAGGACACAGUCCCUACCUUGUUUCUAGGCUUCCCUGCCUAGAACAACAUUUGGAAAGCAACAAUGACCAAAAAGGAAACAGAACCCAAGGUAAGAAGAAUUGGAUGGAUAAGGACACCCAAAUGGUCCAAAUGAGUUUGAAACUCAAAUACCAGACAAGUUGUGCCCAGUUCAGAGGCCCCUUCCUUGCAGAGCCUUUGAAGAAAGUGUGAUCCAUAAGGGUUGGGCUAGAAGAAAGGCAAGUUUUGAAGCUGGGUUGGGGUGAGUGGAGUGGAGAAUCUCUCUAACAGCUACAAGCUGAUUCCAGAGAUAAUAAAUGAGACAGAUUAUAAGGGAAUGAGCCUGGUGAUGCCUGGGUGCCAGCCUCGCCUCCAUAAAAAGGAAAAAGCCAGACACUUCUUUCCAAGUAAAAGCCACACAGAGGGGGACCAGUAAAAGUGGAGCAGACAAGAGGGACCUCAGCAAAGAAUUCUGGACAUGAUUAUUAUGACCAUAAGACAAAAACCAGUACUAGAUCAACUGGCUGACUGGCAGCCAUGCACUAGUUAGAGGAAAAAAAUUAUUUCUUGGUCUUACCUCAGUAAUCUUUGACCAAUAACAAAAGUAUUCUUAUCAAAACUGUCCCUGGAGACUGGAGAGAUGUUUCAGUGGUAAAGAGCACUGGUUGCUUUUCCAAAGACCCUGGGUUCAAUUCCCAGCUCCCACAUGGCAACUCAAAACUCCAGUUCCAGAGGAUUGGACACCCUCAUAAAGACAUAUAUGCAGGCAAAACACCAGUGCACAUAAAAUGAAAAAUAAGGAUAAAUAAAUCAUUUUU
rnacentral:lncRNA from 1 species